rnacentral:rRNA from 1 species
AAACUCAAAGGAAUUGACGGGGACCCGCACAAGCGGUGGAGCAUGUGGUUUAAUUCGAAGCAACGCGAAGAACCUUACCAAAUCUUGACAUCCUUUGACAACUCUAGAGAUAGAGCUUUCCCCUUCGGGGGACAAAGUGACAGGUGGUGCAUGGUUGUCGUCAGCUCGUGUCGUGAGAUGUUGGGUUAAGUCCCGCAACGAGCGCAACCCUUAAGCUUAGUUGCCAUCAUUAAGUUGGGCACUCUAAGUUGACUGCCGGUGACAAACCGGAGGAAGGUGGGGAUGACGUCAAAUCAUCAUGCCCCUUAUGAUUUGGGCUACACACGUGCUACAAUGGACAAUACAAAGGGCAGCGAAACCGUGAGGUCAAGCAAAUCCCAUAAAGUUGUUCUCAGUUCGGAUUGUAGUCUGCAACUCGACUACAUGAAGCUGGAAUCGCUAGUAAUCGUAGAUCAGCAUGCUACGGUGAAUACGUUCCCGGGUCUUGUACACACCGCCCGUCACACCACGAGAGUUUGUAACACCCGAAGCCGGUGGAGUAACCUUUUAGGAGCUAGCCGUCGAAGGUGGGACAAAUGAUUGGGGUGAAGUCGUAACAAGGUAGCCGUAUCGGAAGGUGCGGCUG